UACGUAGGGCGCAAGCGUUAUCCGGAAUUAUUGGGCGUAAAGAGCUCGUAGGCGGUUUGUCGCGUCUGCCGUGAAAGUCCGGGGCUCAACUCCGGAUCUGCGGUGGGUACGGGCAGACUAGAGUGAUGUAGGGGAGACUGGAAUUCCUGGUGUAGCGGUGAAAUGCGCAGAUAUCAGGAGGAACACCGGUGGCGAAGGCGGGUCUCUGGGCAGUAACUGACGCUGAGGAGCGAAAAGCGUGGGGAGCGAACAGG
rnacentral:rRNA from 1 species